UUCCGAGGUUUUUCCGAGGGUCUACAGUAUGGGGUUCUUCUAAAAAGGAGUGUACAGGUUUUUAAAAGGUCGGCAACGCGCAUGUAACACCUCUGGAGUUGCAGGCGUCCAUAGGCUACGGUGAUUGCUUACCAUCAGGCGGGCCGUAUGCUUGUUUGCCACCGACGUAGUAUUAAAAAAAAAACGUA